rnacentral:rRNA from 1 species
AUUGAACGCUGGCGGCAUGCCUUACACAUGCAAGUCGAACGGUAACAGGUUAAGCUGACGAGUGGCGAACGGGUGAGUAAUACAUCGGAACGUGCCCAGACGUGGGGGAUAGCUCGGCGAAAGCCGGAUUAAUACCGCAUGUGCUCUGAGGAGGAAAGCGGGGGAUCGCAAGACCCCGCGCGUUUGGAGCGGCCGAUGGCAGAUUAGGUAGUUGGUGGGGUAAAGGCUUACCAAUCCUACGAUCUGUAGCUGGUCUGAGAGGACGACCAGCCACACUGGGACUGAGACACGGCCCAGACUCCUACGGGAGGCAGCAGUGGGGAAUUUUGGACAAUGGGCGAAAGCCUGAUCCAGCAAUGCCGCGUGCAGGAUGAAGGCCUUCGGGUUGUAAACUGCUUUUGUACGGAACGAAAAGGCGCCUACUAAUACUGGGCGUUGAUGACGGUACCGUAAGAAUAAGCACCGGCUAACUACGUGCCAGCCGCCGCGGUAACAC